GGGCAUUUGGUCUACUGGUAUGAUUUUCGCUUCGGGUGCGAAGGUCCCGAGUUCGAUUCUCGGAAUGCCCC
rnacentral:tRNA from 1 species